rnacentral:snRNA from 1 species
GGAUGUGAAGGCGAUCUGGCCAUGACAUCUUCACCCCAUUGAGCACCAGGGUUGCUUCUGCUGAUCUGGCUGGCUGGGCAGGUAUCCCCCCACUCCAUGUGCAUCCCUCCCAAAGCAGCGUGCUGAAAGAGGACAACCACCCCCAAUGGAGCAGGACCACUGUCUCAGGCAAGGGUAUACAGGUAGCUGUGUUCCCUCGUUAGAACCUCCCAACAAGCUGUCAAAAACAGUUCAAAAUAUAAACUUACCUAGGGAACUCAAAGUUAUGAAAAUAAUAUAUGCACAUCUUAAAGUGACUAUUUCUUA